UUGAUUAGGAAGUUCGUCGAUGUUUUACGCUAGACCCUUUGGUGCUUUGACUGAAUAGAAAUAUGGUCUAGAAUUCCGACAUCGUACGUAGUUCGAUUCUCCAUUAUUAUAAAAAGUCAUCAUGUUGAUAAUUUUCAAAAAUCUUCUAGUUUCAUCGUGGGCUUUGGAAGAACGCCAAAAACUUCACAAAAUGAGACCAGAAACUUGGAAUUGCGUUAAUUCGUUCCAUAGAUAUAGCGUGUUCAAGAAAAAAAUCGUUCGAUUUACUGUAAGAUUUUUAGCGAGCACGUAAAUAUUCGAACAGUCAUAAUUUCGUGGGAAAAAUGUUAUUUAGCCAAACAAGAAAAUAUGAGUUCCUUUUUUUACCUCAGAAAACAUCAUAUUACAGUUUCGAAGAAUCCUGCAACAUUACAUUUUCCGGGCUGCUCUAACUGAGAUGGAUUCGGUCAAUAUAUUAACAGUAUCAUAUUGAACUUCGAUAUAGUUUCAAUAAUCCAACAUGCACACUAUCAAGUGAAACUUUAGUGAUGUACGAACUAAAAUAAUCAAGAGAACAGUUAUUGUUGUAUUAGGAUUAUGAGUCCUUAGAAAGCAGCUGAAAUAAUUAUGAAAACUCUUUACUGAAAUUUAAAAUCAUGCUGCGCUAUCAUGACUACAAGUUUGACACGCGUAACAACGAAAACUGAUCUGCGCUACUAGAUUGAUCAAAUUCCCGAAACUUCCUUAUAAGUAUACAUCAGUUUCAGACGUAUCGGAAAUUGAUAAUACUCGUUUGCGAUUUGUUCGUGCUUAGGCAGGAUUGUCAAUAGUCAUGGAAAGUACUUGUAAAACCUACUAAGUGUUAAUAAUUAGGGUUACGAUGGUGCCAAUUUUGAUUAUAAUAUACAUAUAAUAUUAUUAUAUAAAAAAAGUCUAAAGAUACGUGAAGAUUAUUAUGCGUUCUUUCAACCUUCUGGAAUACCACAGAGUAAUUCAUAUAAUACGAUUAUCCCGUUUUCCAAUAUGCUCACAGCCGUAUUUUCCCGAACGAUCCGAAUUUGAUUUUUAAUAUAAUUCCAUUACAAAUGACGAAGCAUUCCUAAAAGCUCGCUUGAACAACAGGGAGCUGCAUCAUCCAGCUUCUGAACUCGGACUUCGUUGAGAUAUUUUGCAAGUCAUCUACGUGCCAAAACACAGACAUUCGCAAUAAGAACCGGUGCAACUUAGCAGGUCGAGCGUCAGAUUGCGCAUGCGCGGGGUGUUCGGAAUUUAAUACAGACUGGCCACCUUAAGCCACAGCUGUCAAACGUAGCUUUCCGAGGUUAUGUAAGUGAUGUUAAUUUUUGAGGGUAAGCUGGUCUCAAAUAGUGGAUAUCAGCCUUAAGAAAAAGCUUAGCAAACAUUUUUCGUCAACUGACUAGUGGCCGAUGAUUGAUACGAGUCAUCACAGCAACAUAAUUUUAAUUCCGCACUUCAUACGGGAGACAUUAAAAUCUCAUCUUCCAUUUCUAGUAAGUUGGCACCCCUGCCUUGCGAACGAAAAUAUUUCCGUGGUACGAUCUGUCAGAGCAAUGGAGUUCUAUUAGUUUUCGCAGGCGCAGUCACUCAGCCUGCUAAGUUUCACCUUUUCAUCUCUGCAGAUACAAGAACUUGAAAUAGCAAUUCACGAAGCUUGGUGCAUCAAGGUUUGAACCGCUUGAUAGUUGAUCGACAUGUUAUACAAUCGUACCCUUUCAUCACAAUACGUCCGCCUAUUAUCCAAAGGAUGUAGCUUCAUUGCCAAUUAGAAUUGGUAGCCCUGUAUUCGAGUUACCAAACUACCGAAGUAGCAAUUGGAGAGCAUUCGAUCAUCUGCAACUGUUUCAUCAGCAUACGGUGUACAGAUAAAAAAUUAGCAAACAAUACGUGAAUCAGCCUGCCUGUCUAUCUCUUUAAUUCGUCAAUUGCAAUUUUCGCUAUCAGUGAAAGUAGGUAUUAUGUGAAUUUAUUCAUUUAUGACAUUUUCUUAAAUUUACGAAAGCUCAACAAAAAUGCUCUCACACAGUGAAUGAGGUAUUUUUUUAUUUCUGUUUCAGCUCAAGUUACGAAGUGUAAAUGCCAAUUAUAAUGAAAUAACUUGGAAUACCUACAUAUUUAUAACCUUAUACACACUGAGAACAGGUGUGCGAAAAACAAUUAAUCGUCUUCCGGUGUAGACUGUAUACAUUGCUGAGCUAUAUUCUAUAAAUCUACGGUGCGCCUGUUUUUUUGUACUGCAAGGUUUUCUUGCAAGGAUCUGCCCGUAGCGCGCGUAAUUCAACUUGCUCAAUUUUGAUUCGCUGAUAUCCAUGCACGUAGCCUGAAACAAACUUUCACUGAUAAGAAGAAAUUCCCUAGAAUCAACCGAUUGACAAGUAACAGUUAACCAUAACCUCUCACCUAUUAACCCCUUGAUGGACAGAUAGGCUCACGGCGCAGCCAUGAUUCCUUACACAUCAGUCACUCUGUCCACCAUGCUAGUAAAAUUUUUACGAAACUGGCAACACAUAUACGCUAGACGAUGGCAGGUCCUUUCAGGGAAACGUCUAGGUAAAUUCCUGCAUAAGAAUUAGCAAUUUUAAUCAAAAUAACACCAGUACACUUACAAGUAUGGUACGAAAUUCAAUAUCAUACACUCACACAGACAUAACACGAGGGCUGCUAAUUGAAAUAAAUGAGAAUUAUCGAUUCUCAAUUGGUUCUUAACAUUUAUCGGAUCAAAUCAUGUUGAUAGAAUUUUUCUGUAUAAGAAGCGAUAAAAUUCAGUAGAAAUCAGAAGAUUAGAAUAGACGAAUAUUACGCACCUUUUACUAAUGUAAAAUGUGGAAAAAUAUUAUCUAUAAAACCUAUUUUAAAGAUUGCACAACGUCCUACACAUAGCAAUUCUUGCAGCACUCAAAGAACCAAAUCCAAUGCUGAAAAGGGUGAUGAUUUACUUUUUCUUCAAUGGUUUCUGAUAUUCUUCAAAAAAAUCUCACUCCAAAGUUGCUCGUCUAUAACGAAAUGGUAAUAAUCUUUUCUUGAAUUUGACGCUUAUAAUACACGAGUAACACAAUAUCAAUCCUUUUCUUCAAAUCUGCUGUUUCAACUCUAAAUUUCAUGCCACGCACAAUUCGUUUAUGUAGUCUAAUACAUGUAUGCAAGUAUUCAUCUGCCAUUUUGGGAGACAAGUUACAAUUUUCAUUGUCUUUGAUUACAUACGUAUUGUCAUGAAGCAAGUGAUUUCUAUCGUGUAAUCAAACGCCCUCAAGUUUAAAUCACACUUGGUUCAGCCAGAUUAGGAAAUACUCGUGCAAACUAAUUGGAUUGGAGGUAAACAUUCAGCCAAUAAUAAUCAAUCGAUACCACCAAUCAACCAAUUAACCCGAACAACGAUGAUUCGCAAACAUUGUUUAAUUACAUAGAAAUGUACAAAGAUAAUAUGUUGAUGCUACAGUGCCCGAUGAUUCAAUCCAUUAUCAUAGUUGCUCUCAAAUAUUUGCACAAGUAUAUUUAUAGGUUUCUAAUGGAUUGUUUUGCAAUGAAAUAUAUUUCAUCAGGUUGAAUCGUGUUUAAAAAAACGCUAAUAUCAUUCAACAGUAGCAAUAAUAAUACUAGGUUCCAGAAAUCAUCAUUGCCCUGAGCAAAAAUUUUUAAUCGUUAGUUGAUUUUAUAUGUAAUAUAUAUAUACAAGAUUUACGAUACCACAUAGAUUAUGAUACAAGAUGGACGGAAUACUGCAAAUACUAAAUUUGCGAUGGUAAUUUUUGGCAGUAAAAAUUCUUAAAUUCUUACAUUGCGCCAAUUAUGCAGCGAAACCUAAGGUUCCAAUAACUAGAGCAUCAAAAACGCUGAAAUAAGAGGAACGCCUCUGGACAUUCAAUGUCGAGGAUUUAGGUGCGGUGAAAAUUCUACGGAAUAGAAUAAUUCAGCAAUUGAAAUGUUUGAAUUACAAUUAAUACAAAUGCGAUGGAAUACGUCAAACAUAUUCUAUUGUGAAUAUAUUUCUACACGCCGGUUUUAAGACGAUAAAAACACAAAUUUUGCACAACACACGUUGUAGACGAAUAUCCGAUGUAACUCUUUUCGUUCAAUCCCAUAAAUUGCAUGUACGGGGAAUAUUUCUUGAAGGGAGGGGACCGAUGAAUAUUCCUUGUAUACAAGCUGAAUGCAAUAAUUUUCUAAAUAUAACGUUUAAAAAUCGUACUUAAUAAGAUUUCGUGCUAGCCAAUUGAAAUACAAAAACACAACGCCAAGUUUAUUCUAUAUACAUACAAACACACGUAAUACACUAUAAAUAUUAUACGAUGCAUAUAAACCUUAUAGUUGUGCGGUACUUCAUUUACUGGCCCUGUUUGAAAUAUGUAAAAAUUGAAGCAAUAACAGUUAAGAUUAUAUUGUAUACAUAUAUAUAUAUACAUAUAUAAAUACCAAAUAUAUUAUAUAUUUAUAUAUUUAUUAAUUUGUAUGAAUGACAAUGUUACGUUUUGGAUAUAAAAUAUACUGACACAGUAUGAAUAAACUUAUGUUUGAAUAAUAUGAA